rnacentral:lncRNA from 1 species
AUGAUGUUUCCUGUUGCAAGGAUGCUGCCUCCAGGAGGAAAGGAUCUGGGUGAGCUUGCUGAUAACAAUGUCACCUUGGUCAGUGUGGACUGGGCCUCUGUGGUGGAGCAAGUGCUUUUGCUGUGGCUGGAGCAGGAGGGAUAUCUGUUUGAAUGGAACUUCCUGGUCAAGUCUAGCUCAGCCACUGGUCUGGAAAUUCGGCAAAAUCAUGGAUCCUGUCUUCAAGUGAAUUCAGCUGUAGAACAGCUUCCCAGGCCUAACUCAACCAUGGAAUCAACUGGAAGGCGUUCAAAGAUGGAGCGUAUGCAUUUCAAGGAAGUGAGGACGCCAAUCUUAGGGCUGCUUGUCCUCCUGUGGAUGAGGGAACAUACAGGUGCUGUCCACUAUUCAGUCCUCAAACGAGACAGCUGGUAUGGUCUCUGUACCUUCUUGGGAACUUGAGAGAGUUAUGAAAAUCCCAGUCGCUUGGUGUGGAGGACCUGCACCUGACCUAAAACCUCAUGCUGGAGAUGAACUCUAGAGGGUUGUGUGGAUUUGAUCAUCUGUUCUUCGAAUGUCUUCUGGGGAACAUGCAACGAAAGGCUGUGCUCUGCUUGAAAGCUUAUAGAAAAAUCAUCAACAUGUGGGAAAUUGUUUCUAUACUUCAGUGUAAAACAACAUUGUCAAAAAAAAAAAUAAAAAAAAAAUAAAACAACA